GAUGAACGCUGGCGGCGUGCCUAAUACAUGCAAGUCGAGCGAACGGACGAGAAGCUUGCUUCUCUGAUGUUAGCGGCGGACGGGUGAGUAACACGUGGAUAACCUACCUAUAAGACUGGGAUAACUUCGGGAAACCGGAGCUAAUACCGGAUAAUAUUUUGAACCGCAUGGUUCAAAAGUGAAAGACGGUCUUGCUGUCACUUAUAGAUGGAUCCGCGCUGCAUUAGCUAGUUGGUAAGGUAACGGCUUACCAAGGCAACGAUGCAUAGCCGACCUGAGAGGGUGGUCCGCCACACUGGAACUGAGACACGGUCCAGACUCCUACGGGAGGCAGCAGUAGGGAAUCUUCCGCAAUGGGCGAAAGCCUGACGGAGCAACGCCGCGUGAGUGAUGAAGGUCUUCGGAUCGUAAACCUCUGUUAUUAGGGAAGAACAUAUGUGUAAGUAACUGUGCACAUCUUGACGGUACCUAAUCAGAAAGCCACGGCUAACUACGUG
rnacentral:rRNA from 1 species